GAAUUCAACUGAAAAAAGUCAUCAAUAACAAAGUGGUAUAACUCAUCAAAAUCUAUAACUUUUAUUUGGGUCAUUUCUUCAUCCGAUAAAAUGAUUUGUAACAUUGUUCACAAAAUGUACAUAUCUCUUAUAUAGUUUUAUAAACUAUAAGAGAGAUAUGUAAAUUUUAUGAAAAUAUUACUAUCGCUUUGUUGGAUGAAGAAAUGAUCAAAAUAGAAGUCAUAAAUCUUGAUGAGUUAUACAACUUUGUUGUUGAUGACUUUUUCAGUUGAAAUC
rnacentral:pre_miRNA from 2 species